UAGUUGCGUAGCAGCAGAAGAAACAAGAUGCCUGAGCAUUGUGCAGCAUAUUCCUGCUCAAAUCGGCGGACCAUCGAAAACAGGGCUCGGGGGAUGACUUUUCACAAGUUUCCCAAGAACAAAGAUGUGAGGAAGAAGUGGGAAGUGGCUUUGAGGAGAGAAGGAUUUACUGCCACUUGUUCAUCAGUGCUUUGCUGUCACCAUUUUAAGGAAGGCGAUUUUGAUAGGACGGGUCAGAUUGUUCGACUCCGAGAUGGUGUUAUUCCAUCCGUCUUCAGCUUCCCGGUUCACCUCCAAAGAUUGGAAAAGGGCAGGGCUAAGUCUACCUCCAGAAGAGCUGAAGAAAGCCUGUCUGUGGCCUCUCAGGAUUCCCAAGAAACGUCAACCUCACACCCACAACCUCAGCCUAAUGAUGAUCAUGGCUAUGCCUUGCCUGCGUCUCCUACCGCUCUUAAGACCAGACUCAUUGAGGCCUUGGCGAAAGUGGAAAGUCUGGAGCGAGAGAAGAAGAAUGCCAUGGCCAGAGAAAAGAGGGCAAAGACCACAGUGAAGAGUCUUUUGGGGGGGAUUUGAGGGAAAAUAACCUCAUUAAUGAAGAGCUCCAAGAGAAGCUUGAAUUCUACUCCGAUAGACCUCAUGGCAAAGCAGGGCCAUGAGUACACAAAGGACUACAGAGAGUUUGCGCUUACGCUCCAUCUACAUGGUCCAAAGGCAUACAAAUACCUCCAGAGAAACUCAACAUUUUCCCCUGCCACAUUCACACACAUUACUAAGGUGGCUGCGUUCGGUGGAUGCCAAGCCAGGUCUGAACAAGAUAAUGCUGGAUAUACUGGAGAGAAGAUGCCAGGGUCAGGCUUAAUAUGGAUGGAUGUUUCACCCAUGUUGGAUGCCAUGUCCAUCAGAAAACACGUGCAAUAUAAUACAAUAAUUUAUGUAUUGUGUGCCUGUUUUCCAUACAAGGCGGCUGGAAUAACCAUCCAUCGGCACGCCACUUCCAGGCCAUUCUUCCGCCGUCUGAUGGUUCGGUGUGGUGUCUCACCUGGUGAGACGGGCAAUGUGGCAGCCCAAGAUAACACACUGUCCCUGUCUGCUGUGGAGAUGUCCUCUCCUGAAACUGCUGAAGAGCACCCAUCUCCUUUCGCCAACAUUUCGGCCCUUGUAUGUGUGACCGCAGUUAUCUUUCCUCUCGGUUUGGUGGUCUGGUGGAAAAUGCUCUGGUCUACAUAGCAGGGUUUGUAGUCUGGCAGAUUCUACGAAAGCUGUCCUGUGACGUGGGCCGUGCGAGCUUGGUCAGACAUGCUGUACCAUCUUCAUUUGACAAGAGCUACCACCUUCUAACCCUGAAAAACAACGGCGGUCUAGUGAUUCCAUCACAAGGCACAGUGAAGGUGCUGAGAGCUGCAGAGAGGGUGAUCUGCCGCACUUCAACAGUACAAGCUCCUAAGGUGUCGACGGUCACACACAUCGUCCGGGAGGAGAUUGGAACGGAGGAUUUUUUUUUUUUUUCUACUUGGGGAACACAUUGAGGAGACACAGUUGGGCAUCGACAACCAUCAUUCAGACUUGUUGUCAUUGGUUGUGUCUGUGUUUCUCAAAAUAAGGCUGCACCACAUUGCCAAACUCACCUCUCUUGAACUGCAGAAAGGGAGCACGAGAAAGAAGCUCUGCAAAGCAGUCCUCUUUCAGGGCUUUUAUCGUCUGUCUGUCUGUCUGUCUGUCUGUCUGUCUGUCUGUCUGUCUGUCUGUCUGUCUGUCUGUCU